CUUUAACAUUCACAGAGAAAAGAGCAAGGAUGCUAAUUCGAUUCUAUUUCAUCUCCCUUAACUCUCCUCUAAUCUGUUUUAUUCUCGCACGUUUUCUAUGCUCUUCUGCUCUGUUCUCCAAGGAAGUGCAAGACAUGCUGAAGGAGACGUUUCAUACAGCAAACGAUAAAAAAAAUAACCCUUGGAAUGUGGGAACAUGGACUUACUGUCAAGUGAAGCUUUGGAUGGAUUGGUGUAAAGCACACCACCACUGGACUGUGUUCUGUGGAGUGACGAAUCAUGCCUCUCUGUUUGUCAGUCUGAUGGGCAAGUCUGGGAACAUGCCUGACUGAGUUGUUUUUCAGGGGUUGGUCUAGGCCCCUUAUUAUCAGUGAAAGGACAUCUUAAAGGGAUAUUUCACCCAAAAAUUAAAAUCACCCUCAAUCAUUCCGAAGCGCAAAAAAAGUGCAUCCAUCCAUUAUAAAAAGUGCUCCACAUAGCUCCAGGGGGUUAAUAAAGCUUCUGAAAGCGAAGCAAUGCGUUUGAGUAAGAAAAAUAUCCAUAUUUAAAAUUUUAUAAACCAUAAUCUCUAGUUUCUGCUAACUGUUGUACGCGCAUUCACAAAAAAGUGGCGUUCCAGCGGAUGACGUAAGAAGUAGGCGUAGCAUAAGCUCUGGUGAGAAGUGAUCAAUGUGGAAAUGCAGAGGAGACAGCAAAACAAAACGAGGAUUUGUAAAGAAAAAUGUUAGAGGAUUUCGAUAUAAGCCAAGAGGAGACUGGAUUUCCUUUGCUGUAAACAAAACUUGAUUCUCGCGAGACUAGCAUAUUCUCACUAGCCCUUUUAUGUUUCAGCAUACCAAGACAUUUUGGACAUUGCUUCCAACCUUGUGGAGCAGUUUGAGGAAGGCCCUUUUCUAUUCCAGCAUGAAAGCAAGGUCUAUUAACACAUGGUUGGGUGAGUUGGAUGAGAGCUUGACUGGCCCACACAGAACCCUGACCUUAACCCCACUGAACACUUUUGGGAUGAACUGCAAUGGAGACUGCGAGCCAGGGUUUCUCGUCCAGCAUCAGUGCCUGACCUCACAAAUGCUCUACUGAAUUAAUGGCCAAAAAUUCCUACAGAAAACUUGGAAGCUAUUAUAGCUGCAAAGGGGGACCAGCUCCAUAUUAAUGUCUAUGUGUUUAGAAUGCAAUCAUUAAAGUCCC